CCCUUAGAUGUUCUGGGCCACACGCGCGCUACACUGAUGCAUUCAACGAGCCUAUCCUUGACCGACAGGUCCGGGUAAUCUUUGAAUCUGCAUCGUGACGGGGAUAGAUUAUUGCAAUUAUUAAUCUUCAACGAGGAAUGCCUAGUAGGCGCAAGUCAUCAGCUUGCGUCGAUUACGUCCCUGCCCUUUGUACACACCGCCCGUCGCUCCUACCGAUUGGGUGUGCUGGUGAAAUGUUCGGAUCGGCCGUUUGUCGCGGUUUCCGCGUCAUGUGGCUGAGUAGUUCAUUAAACCCUCCCACCUAGAGGAAGGAGAAGUCGUAACA
rnacentral:rRNA from 1 species